AACUAGCCCCGAUGGAAGCGGCAUCCUUUUUUGGUGGCUGAGGCUCUCGAAGCCACCAAAAAAGAUACAGCGGACAGCGGGAUAAAGC
rnacentral:sRNA from 1 species